rnacentral:rRNA from 1 species
GACGAACGCUGGCGGCGUGCCUAAUACAUGCAAGUCGAGCGGACUGUCAGGAGUGCUUGCACUCCGGAAGGUUAGCGGCGGACGGGUGAGUAACACGGAGGCAACCUGCCCAUAAGACCGGUAUAACAUGCGGAAACGAAUUCUAAUACCGGAUAGACGGACUUCUCGCAGUAGGGGAGCGGGAAAGGGGGAGCAAACAGCCGCUGAAGGAUGGGCCGGCGGCGCAGUAGCUGGUUGAGGGGGUAACGGCCUACCAAGGCGACGAGGCGUAGCCGACCUGAGAGGUUGCUCUGCCACACUGGUGCUGAGACACGGCCCAGACUCCUACGGGAGGCCGCAGUCGGGAAUCUUCCGCAAUGGACGAAAGUCUGACGGAGCAACGCCGCGUGAGUGAGGAAGGCCUUCGGGUCGUAAAGCUCUGUUGCCAGGGAAGAACGGGUAGGGGAGUAACUGCCCUUGCCAUGACGGUACCUGAGAAGAAAGCCCCGGCUAACUACGUG